rnacentral:rRNA from 1 species
UCGGGACCUAAGGCGAGGCCGACAAGCGUAGUCGAUGGACAACGGGUUGAUAUUCCCGUACCCGCGAAAUGACGACCCUGCCGAGGCGGGUAAUGCUAAACACGCGAGCUUGGGGAGGACUUCGGUUCGAGCCAGGCGAGUCUGUGACCCAAACCUGUAUUAGGCAAGCUGCGGAGGGACGCAGGAAGGUAGCCCAUCCCGGGCGAUGGUAGUCCCGGGCUAAGUGCGUAGGGCGUCAGGUUGGCAAAUCCGCCUGGCAUAAGCCUGAGACAUGACGGCUGGGCCGGAUCUACGGAUCUGGUCGAGUGGGUGAUCCUAUGCUGCCUAGAAAAGCUUCGUGAGCGAUGUCAUUUAGCGGCCCGUACCCUAAACCGACACAGGUGGAUAGGUAGAGAAUACCAAGGCGAUCGAGAUAAUCGUGGUGAAGGAACUCGGCAAAAUACCCCCGUAACUUCGGGAUAAGGGGGACCUGAUGUGUGAGCCGGCUUGCCCGGUGAAGCACUGAGGGUCGCAGAGACCAGGCCCAAGCGACUGUUUACUAAAAACACAGGUCCGUGCUAAGUCGAAAGACGAUGUAUACGGACUGACUCCUGCCCGGUGCUGGAAGGUUAAGGGGAAGUGUCAGCGCAAGCGAAGCACCGAACUUAAGCCCCAGCAAACGGCGGUGGUAACUAUAACCAUCCUAAGGUAGCGAAAUUCCUUGUCGGGUAAGUUCCGACCUGCACGAAUGGAGUAACGAUUUGGGCGCUGUCUCCACCACGAACUCGGCGAAAUUGCACUACGAGUAAAGAUGCUCGUUACGCGCAGCAGGACGGAAAGACCCCGGGACCUUUACUAUAGUUUGGUAUUGGUGAUCGGUACGACUUGUGUAGGAUAGGUGGGAGACUUUGAAGCGAGGACGCCAGUUCUUGUGGAGUCAACGUUGAAAUACCACUCUGGUCGUUCUGGUUAUCUAACCUAGGUCCGUUAUCCGGAUCAGGGACAGUGCCUGAUGGGUAGUUUGACUGGGGCGGUCGCCUCCCAAAAUGUAACGGAGGCGCCCAAAGGUUCCCUCAGCCUGGUUGGCAAUCAGGUGUUGAGUGUAAGUGCACAAGGGAGCUUGACUGUGAGAGGGACAUCUCGAACAGGGACGAAAGUCGGGACUAGUGAUCUGACGGUGGCACGUGGAAGCGCCGUCACUCAACGGAUAAAAGGUACCCCGGGGAUAACAGGCUGAUCUUGCCCGAGCGUCCAUAGCGACGGCAUGGUUUGGCACCUCGAUGUCGGCUCGUCGCAUCCUGGGGCUGGAGUCGGUCCCAAGGGUUGGGCUGUUCGCCCAUUAAAGCGGCACGCGAGCUGGGUUUAGAACGUCGUGAGACAGUUCGGUCCCUAUCCGCUGCGCGCGUAGGAGUCUUGAGAAGAGCUGUCCUUAGUACGAGAGGACCGGGACGGACUAACCUCUGGUGUGCCAGUUGUUCUGCCAAGAGCACGGCUGGUUGGCUACGUUGGGAAGUGAUAACCGCUGAAAGCAUCUAAGCGGGAAGCAUGCUUCAAGAUGAGGGCUCCCACAGGGUAACCUGGUAAGGCCCCCGGCAGACCACCGGGUGAUAGGUCGGAUGUGGAAGGGCAGUAAUGCUCGGAGCUGACCGAUACUAAUAGGCCGAGGGCUUGUUUC